UUAAGUUAUUAAGGGCGCACGGUGGAUGCCUUGGCACUAGAAGCCGAUGAAGGACGUUACUAACGACGAUAUGCUUUGGGGAGCUGUAAGUAAGCUUUGAUCCAGAGAUUUCCGAAUGGGGAAACCCAGCAUGAGUUAUGUCAUGUUAUCGAUAUGUGAAUACAUAGCAUAUCAGAAGGCACACCCGGAGAACUGAAACAUCUUAGUACCCGGAGGAAGAGAAAGAAAAUUCGAUUCCCUUAGUAGCGGCGAGCGAAACGGGAAGAGCCCAAACCAACAAGCUUGCUUGUUGGGGUUGUAGGACACUCUGUACGGAGUUACAAAGGACGACAUUAGACGAAUCAUCUGGAAAGAUGAAUCAAAGAAGGUAAUAAUCCUGUAGUCGAAAAUGUUGUCUCUCUUGAGUGGAUCCUGAGUACGACGGAGCACGUGAAAUUCCGUCGGAAUCUGGGAGGACCAUCUCCUAAGGCUAAAUACUCUCUAGUGACCGAUAGUGAACCAGUACCGUGAGGGAAAGGUGAAAAGCACCCCGGAAGGGGAGUGAAAUAGAACCUGAAACCGUGUGCUUACAAGUAAUCAGAGCCCGUUAAUGGGUGAUGGCGUGCCUUUUGUAGAAUGAACCGGCGAGUUACGAUUUGAUGCAAGGUUAAGCAGUAAAUGUGGAGCCGUAGCGAAAGCGAGUCUGAAUAGGGCGUUUAGUAUUUGGUCGUAGACCCGAAACCAGGUGAUCUACCCUUGGUCAGGUUGAAGUUCAGGUAACACUGAAUGGAGGACCGAACCGACUUACGUUGAAAAGUGAGCGGAUGAACUGAGGGUAGCGGAGAAAUUCCAAUCGAACCUGGAGAUAGCUGGUUCUCUCCGAAAUAGCUUUAGGGCUAGCCUCAAGUGAUGAUUAUUGGAGGUAGAGCACUGUUUGGACGAGGGGCCCCUCUCGGGUUACCGAAUUCAGACAAACUCCGAAUGCCAAUUAAUUUAACUUGGGAGUCAGAACAUGGGUGAUAAGGUCCGUGUUCGAAAGGGAAACAGCCCAGACCACCAGCUAAGGUCCCAAAAUAUAUGUUAAGUGGAAAAGGAUGUGGCGUUGCCCAGACAACUAGGAUGUUGGCUUAGAAGCAGCCAUCAUUUAAAGAGUGCGUAAUAGCUCACUAGUCGAGUGACACUGCGCCGAAAAUGUACCGGGGCUAAACAUAUUACCGAAGCUGUGGAUUGUCCUUUGGACAAUGGUAGGAGAGCGUUCUAAGGGCGUUGAAGCAUGAUCGUAAGGACAUGUGGAGCGCUUAGAAGUGAGAAUGCCGGUGUGAGUAGCGAAAGACGGGUGAGAAUCCCGUCCACCGAUUGACUAAGGUUUCCAGAGGAAGGCUCGUCCGCUCUGGGUUAGUCGGGUCCUAAGCUGAGGCCGACAGGCGUAGGCGAUGGAUAACAGGUUGAUAUUCCUGUACCACCUAUAAUCGUUUUAAUCGAUGGGGGGACGCAGUAGGAUAGGCGAAGCGUGCGAUUGGAUUGCACGUCUAAGCAGUAAGGCUGAGUAUUAGGCAAAUCCGGUACUCGUUAAGGCUGAGCUGUGAUGGGGAGAAGACAUUGNGUCUUCGAGUCGUUGAUUUCACACUGCCGAGAAAAGCCUCUAGAUAGAAAAUAGGUGCCCGUACCGCAAACCGACACAGGUAGUCAAGAUGAGAAUUCUAAGGUGAGCGAGCGAACUCUCGUUAAGGAACUCGGCAAAAUGACCCCGUAACUUCGGGAGAAGGGGUGCUCUUUAGGGUUAACGCCCAGAAGAGCCGCAGUGAAUAGGCCCAAGCGACUGUUUAUCAAAAACACAGGUCUCUGCUAAACCGUAAGGUGAUGUAUAGGGGCUGACGCCUGCCCGGUGCUGGAAGGUUAAGAGGAGUGGUUAGCUUCUGCGAAGCUACGAAUCGAAGCCCCAGUAAACGGCGGCCGUAACUAUAACGGUCCUAAGGUAGCGAAAUUCCUUGUCGGGUAAGUUCCGACCCGCACGAAAGGCGUAACGAUUUGGGCACUGUCUCAACGAGAGACUCGGUGAAAUCAUAGUACCUGUGAAGAUGCAGGUUACCCGCGACAGGACGGAAAGACCCCGUGGAGCUUUACUGUAGCCUGAUAUUGAAAUUCGGCACAGCUUGUACAGGAUAGGUAGGAGCCUUUGAAACGUGAGCGCUAGCUUACGUGGAGGCGCUGGUGGGAUACUACCCUAGCUGUGUUGGCUUUCUAACCCGCACCACUUAUCGUGGUGGGAGACAGUGUCANGCGGGCAGUUUGACUGGGGCGGUCGCCUCCUAAAAGGUAACGGAGGCGCUCAAAGGUUCCCUCAGAAUGGUUGGAAAUCAUUCAUAGAGUGUAAAGGCAUAAGGGAGCUUGACUGCGAGACCUACAAGUCGAGCAGGGUCGAAAGACGGACUUAGUGAUCCGGUGGUUCCGCAUGGAAGGGCCAUCGCUCAACGGAUAAAAGCUACCCCGGGGAUAACAGGCUUAUCUCCCCCAAGAGUUCACAUCGACGGGGAGGUUUGGCACCUCGAUGUCGGCUCAUCGCAUCCUGGGGCUGUAGUCGGUCCCAAGGGUUGGGCUGUUCGCCCAUUAAAGCGGUACGCGAGCUGGGUUCAGAACGUCGUGAGACAGUUCGGUCCCUAUCCGUCGUGGGCGUAGGAAAUUUGAGAGGAGCUGUCCUUAGUACGAGAGGACCGGGAUGGACAUACCUCUGGUGUACCAGUUGUCGUGCCAACGGCAUAGCUGGGUAGCUAUGUGUGGACGGGAUAAGUGCUGAAAGCAUCUAAGCAUGAAGCCCCCCUCAAGAUGAGAUUUCCCAACUUCGGUUAUAAGAUCCCUCAAAGAUGAUGAGGUUAAUAGGUUCGAGGUGGAAGCAUGGUGACAUGUGGAGCUGACGAAUACUAAUCGAUCGAAGACUUAAUCAA
rnacentral:rRNA from 1 species